GCUGCUGGGAGGCUGCUUCCUCGGGUUUCCCACGCUGUCCUUUCCUAGCUGACCCUCCCAGGGAGGCUUGCCUUUCCUGGGAGGCUGGCAGAGGAGUGGCACAGAGGACUUUUCUUACAAGCUCAGGCCAAGAAUUGUAUAGUUCCUGAUCAACUAUAUAAUGUGAAAAACAGAUGGGGUCAAUAUAAACCAUCAUGGAGCAGGAGGAUCAACAGUGAGCCAGUGAGCCCCAGUGAGCCAGUCUUCUUGACCCCCAGAGGCCCGUGAAGCCACUUGAGAGAAGAUCACAGUUUAAAGGAAUCCAGUUCACCAUGGGAGGAAUACAGGGCAGCAGUGGUUCCAUGAUAGCUGUGCGGCUGGGACUAUUCACUUCCUCACAACUUGGCAGAAUGAAAAAACAUGGAACAGACAGAAGACAUGAACUUGACUGGCUAGGUAUAAAAGCCAUAUGGAAGUCAAGCCAGAAGAGGCAACACAACCUUGAAAAAGAUGGAAGGUGGAAGACGAGUAUUUCCCAGGUUCAAAACCUAUAGUAAUCUUCCUACGGAGACCAGCAAAGAAUUGAUGGUAUAGGGAUAAACCACACAUUAGGGUCAAUUUCACGCAAGGUGCCCAAAGCAACUUGAUGGGAGAGAACUAUGUUCGUAGUUGUUUGGCUUUGGUCCUGGGGUUUGAACCUCACAUGUGCUGAGUAAGCACUCUUCCACUGAGCUACAUCCUCGUCCCUCGGUUUUCACAUCUUAUUUGGACAUGGGGCUUCACUAAAUUAUCGCUGCUGACUUUGAACUCAUUCUGUAGCCUGGGCUGGCCUUGAACUUGCAGUUCUCCAGCCUCAGCCUCCCAAUUAGCUGGGAUUCAGGACUUGUGGCAUAGGCCCAGCUAAAAAUACCCUAUUCGAAAAAUGGUGCUGGGCCAGGUGAAUAUCUUCGUGCAAAAGAGUAAAGUUGACUCUCUUCAGCACUGUAAACCUCCCUCAAAGUACUGUGUGGAUACAGUGUAUAUGUAUGGAGAUGUCACAAUGAAACUCAUUAUUUUGUACUUUAAUUUAAAAAUUCAUAAAAUACUAAGUCAAAAUGAAUC